GAGUGAGAAUGCAGGCAUGAGUAGCGAGAGAGGGGUGAGAAACCCCUCCGCCGAAAGCCCAAGGGUUCCUGGGGAAGGCUAAUCCCCCCAGGGUGAGUCGGGAGCUAAGGCGAGGCCGAAAGGCGUAGUCGAUGCACAACUGGUUGAUAUUCCAGUACCUCUGUGCUCGCG
rnacentral:rRNA from 14 species